rnacentral:sRNA from 1 species
AUGCCACAACCCAUGAAUGCACACAAUGGAGAGGCACCCUUGAUUGAGAUUGCACCAGAAGAAAUAGUACAGGUCCAUCGACCGCCCAACAAUGAAAAUCAAGCUCCAGAACCACUUGUGCCACAACCAGCUCCAGAGCCAGUUCAACAGAUACCAGAGCAACAACAAGCUCCAGCUCAGCUCAUACAGGCAAUACAACCAAAUGGUACCGUACCACAACAGAUUCAUGCUGCAGUACCAGCUCAACUUCCAGUUCAAAACCAAUCCAAUCAACAAGGGCACUUAGAUAGAAGAAAGGUACACGUCAAUAUGACCCAUUUUAACGGUAACAUUGAUGCUGCACAGUGGUGGACUACAUUUAUGUCAUUUAUUACCCUUCAAAGAUAUGAAGAAUGGGAAGCAAUAUUAUGCUUUCCUUUUUACUUAGAUGGUAUCGCUAAACAGUGGUGGCACAUGCUAGAUACUUCUGUAAACAGUUCAUUAAACCAUAUCAAAACUGCCUUUUUAAAUAGAUUUAGACCAUUAGAAGAAGAUGAUGUAGGCUUAACAAAUCUCAGACAAUUAGAGCAUGAAUCGGUUACUGAAUACAUUCAUAGGGCGUUAGGUUAUAACAAAGACAGAAGUGCUAUAGACAAAUAUUUGAUAAAAUUAACAUAUAGGGGAAUGAAAGAACAAAUUCAGCAAAUAGUUGUUCCUCAGAACCCAACUUCUAUGACGGAUUUACUAAAAAAAGCUGUCACCGCCGAAAUGACAGUAAAUAUGCGAAAAACUAACAACACUUCAGUUGAAGAUACAAUACACAAAGCCAUUUCAUCACUGGAGAAUACUAUGACAGAAAGAUUGGCAAAUCACUUUCAAUCUGUUGCAGCUAUUUCUACACCUCCACAACAUAAACAACAGAUAGAUAAUUCAACAAGUGCUUAUAAUAAUCAACAAAUGUGUUUUAAUCCAUAUCAACAGCCAUUUCAGAUGCCACCGCCAUAUAUGUAUCAACCAGUACAGCAUCAAUCAGUGCAGUAUCCACAAGCAGUUCAAUACCCUCAGCAAAACAUGCAACCACAGAACAGUUAUCAGAUCAGCAGACCAAAUUAUGCUAAUAAACAGAAUGGACCCUGUAAAGGCUGUGGUAAGUCUUGUAAGUCAAGGUCAUUAUGCCCCGCUUUUAAAAAGAUAUGCCAUCAUUGUAAGACCCAAGGACAUUUUAUUUCUGUUUGUGAUGAGCGAAUUAAGGCGAUGUCACAAGGCUAUAGGCAAUACCCAUAGGGAUACGGGCCUGCCUUAAGGCAACAGUCUGAGGGUAGGCACAAAGAUAAGGAAAUGGUAAAAACAAAAGAAUCAGAAACUAUUUUUACUAUAACGUCUCUUGACUCUGAAAAAUGUACAACACAAGUCACUGUGGGGGAAACCACAACCAAAGCUUUAAUUGACACCGGUGCAAACAUUUCUGUAAUUAGCAAACACUUCCUCAAUAAGACAACUUAUGCCAAUCAUAAUCUUAUGCCAGGUAAUGUGAGACAGGUAGUAGCUGCAAAUGGAAAUCAGGUCGCAGUUUUGGGUAAAAUUGAUAUAGUUGUUACAGUAGGUAGCACAAAAUUUAUUCAAACCGUACAUGUGCUUGAUCAGUUACAUCACACUCUAAUUCUUGGAUUUGAUUUCAUGAAAAAUCAAGGUGCUUUUAUAAAUUUUGAUGACCUUACAUUAGAAAUGAAUAAACCCAAGAUGAUUAUAGGGUCCAUAUCUAUAAAGGCAGGGUUAGUAAGGACAAUGGUCUCAGAAAGCAAGUAUUUUAGUUUAAGUGAUGGUGUUUUAAAUCAUUGGUACCAAAGACGAUGUCGUGGUUUAGCAGAAGAGUUUAAAAGAAUUAAACAAAUUGCCCUUCCUAAGUGUUUGCGACUUGAUGCAUUACAGUCUUAUCAUGGCUCUUUAGCUUCUGGAGGUCACAUCGGUAGGGAAAAAGUAUACAAUUCUCUAAUGGAAAAGUAUUGGUGGAAUAACAUGCACCAACAUGUUAUUGAUUAUGUCAAAUCGUGUGACAGAUGUCAAAGAGCAAAACAAAAUUGUAACCCUAACAGGCCUCCUCUUACAAAAAUGCCCCAAGUUGGUCGUUUUGAUAGGUGGCACAUUGAUGUUCUUGGUCCACUUACUAAAUCACCAGAUGGUUAUGAGUAUGUUUUGUUAGUCGUUGAUGCCUUUAGUCGAUGGUGUGAGGGAUUUCUUAUGAAGACUCAAAAUGCAAAAGAAAUAGCAGAAAAUCUUUACAAUGGAGUUGUAACUAGGUACGGUAGUCCAAGAGUCCUCUGUAGUGACCGGGGACAGGCUUUCUUGAGUAAGAUUGUCAAAGCUAUAUGUGAAAUCUUUCAAAUUACUCAACACCACACUUCUUCUUACCAUCCAAACACAAAUGGUACUGUGGAAAAACAAAACCAUACUCUUGCUCAAUCUCUUCGUACUUAUUGCAAUGAAAGUCAUGAUAAAUGGCCUUCUUUAAUCCCAAGUAUAAUGAUGGUUUUCAGAAGGUCUGUCUCAUCAGCUACAGGUUUUUCUCCUUUUUACAUGAUGUUUGGUCAGGAUAUGAAAAUUCCUUUUGAUAUAGCUCUAGAACCAAAAGAUAAUUUACCUCAGGACACAAAAACCUACCUCAACCAAUUUAUUUCCAAUAUGAAAGUUGCACACACAAUUGCACAUCAAAAUGAGGCAGUGAACAAGGAAAAAGACAAGGUUCGCCAUGAUGAGAAAGCAAAAACCCAAACUUUUGCUGUUGGUGAUUUGGUUCUAAUCAAAGUACACAAAUUUCCAACAGGAAUGUCACGUAAACUCUGUGACAAAGCUGAGGGUCCAUACCAUAUUGAAGAGAUUGGUCCAAAUCACAUUUAUGCUUUAAGAAGACAGUCUGACCAAAAGAAACAUAAAGCCCUCAUGAAUGCUACUAAUCUUCAACUCUAUACUCGCCCUGAACCAGUUCGUCAACGGUUGACUGUCCACCCACCAAAUCAAAAUGAUGCCCCAGAACCUGAUUCAGACACAGAAUCUCUAGAAGAUGAUGCAGAAAUCCAAGACGCACAUGACAAUGUAGUGCAACCCCCUCCCAACCCGUCAUUGACCCAUUGA